AGCGAACGCUGGCGGCAUGCCUGACACAUGCAAGUCGAACGAGACCUUCGGGUCUAGUGGCGCACGGGUGCGUAACGCGUGGGAACCUGCCCUUAGGUUCGGAAUAACUCCCCGAAAGGGGUGCUAAUACCGGAUAAUGUCUUCGGACCAAAGAUUUAUCGCCUUUGGAUGGGCCCGCGUUGGAUUAGCUAGUUGGUAGGGUAAAAGCCUACCAAGGCGACGAUCCAUAGCUGGUCUGAGAGGAUGAUCAGCCACACUGGGACUGAGACACGGCCCAGACUCCUACGGGAGGCAGCAGUGGGGAAUAUUGGACAAUGGGCGAAAGCCUGAUCCAGCAAUGCCGCGUGAGUGAUGAAGGCCUUAGGGUUGUAAAGCUCUUUUACCCGGGAUGAUAAUGACAGUACCGGGAGAAUAAGCUCCGGCUAACUCCGUG
rnacentral:rRNA from 1 species